rnacentral:rRNA from 1 species
GAGCGCCGUAGCAAUACGGAGCGGCAGACGGGAGAGUAACACGUGGGAACGUGCCCUUCAGUUCGGAACAACCCAGGGAAACUUGGGCUAAUACCGGAUACGUCCGUAAGGAGAAAGAUUUAUCGCUGAAGGAUCGGCUCCCGUCUGAUUAGCUAGUUGGUGGGGUAACGGCCCACCAAGGCGACGAUCAGUAGCUGGUCUGAGAGGAUGAUCAGCCUCACUGGGACUGAGACACGGCCCAGACUCCUACGGGAGGCAGCAGUGGGGAAUAU